CUUCCUCCUCUGAUCAGUGGCGAACCGGUGAGUAACACGUGAGCAACCUGCCCCAGACUCUGGGAUAACAGUUGGAAACACCUGCUAAUACCGGAUACCAGACGCAGAGGCAUCUCUACCGUCUGGAAAGUUCUUCCGUCUGGGAUGGACUCCCGGCCCAUCCGCUAGUUGGUGAGCCAAUGGCUCCCCAACCCCCCACCGGCACCCGCCCCUGACAGGCCGACCGGCCACAUUGGGCCUCACACACGCCUCGACUUCUUCCGGAGGUAUCACUGGGGAAUAUUGUACCA
rnacentral:rRNA from 1 species